rnacentral:lncRNA from 1 species
CAGGCUUGUUAUUUCUUGCUUGAGGCAAGAAAAGAGAAAGCCUGCUUUUCAAAGAAUGAGUUAAGAAGACCAGGGAAGGAGGACAGACUCAUGGCCACCAUGAGCUAUGGGGGUCUGCAGACACAGUGCAGUUAUGCAACACUGCUUGGGGUGGGGGUGGGGGUGUAUGUACCCAGAAGUGGGCUAGACCCCUGGAGCAGGUCUCCUCACUUCCCCAGAGAACCUCACCCUACAUGUGGCCUGGAAGCAACAGAAGUGGAAUCUGGCUGGGUCACCUACACUGGGGACAAUUGCUAUCUCAACACUAACCAGUGCAGACAGAUGACAAGUACUGGAGGAGUCUUCCCAAUGCUUCUACACUGCGUAAGACCAGACUUUUGUAGAAUCUCUGUGUGUGGGGUGUGGGAGCUGUCCCAGCAUGGCUGGGUUAAAUUUCCUGCCAGCUUGGUGGGCUGGUUACUCAGAAUCCAAAUUUAAUUUGAUGUAAGGAAAUCUAAAAUAUUCAUGUUUCUUGAACACAUGAAUUUAUAGACUGAGAUUUGCAUCUAUUUUAAGUAUUUGUUGAAUGCCUUGCUGAUGGGAAGGAUUCCCUGACAGCUACCAGAGAUCUAUCUCUGCCAGCUUGGGGUGGAUAUGCACCAUGCGCUGAGCAAAAGGAGCGAGGAGAGUUGUGCUCAGGCAGCAGUAGGAGGCCAUAAAAGAUGAGCCACACCAGUUUCCGUCUUUCCAAGGCCUUGUUGUAGAUUGCUUACCUUGUGCCCUUUUCCAUCUCUGCCAAUAUUUGGGGGGGAGGGGGGUUGUUAAAAUACACAUAUUCAAAAACAAAUCAACAAACAACUUCACUCUAGCAAAUCAUUUUAUUAGGCUCAAGAUGAGUUCCUGCCUGCAAAGCUCUCAAAUGCCAGAAAAUGUGGGCCGGGCAGCCGCCUACUUCCCAUCCCAGUCACGCUGCUUAGGGUUCGCUUGAAUGGCUAAUUACUGGUCACCUCACCUUCUUGUCAAAGCUGGAAGAUUAUACUUAACGCGCAACGUAAGCCGUCCCCUGGACCUCACUUGUUUGGACUGGCAAUCACGUCUUCUGUUCGCUUCCCUACUUACCUUAAGUUUUAGUAAUUGCCCUCUGGGCUCAAAAGAGCAUCCCACUAGGCCAUUGAAAUGUUGAACAGCCCCCUGACAUGGGGAAAUGUUUAUCUGCACUCAGAGAAAGAACUAGGACAAAUAUGUGCAGCUUUGGUUCAUGACAGGAUGCAGAUUUCUUAUGAGCAAUUUCCUAACCUUCAGCUUAGUAAUAACUAUAAUCAACUUGGCACGUUGAGGGUUGGUUAGAAGUGUCAUUAGGCAGUAACUAGAAACUUCCAAGAUGGUAAACAAGUCAGAAUGGAGAUCUUUUGCACAAUGUAAACAUAAUGCCCAGUGUUCCCUUGGGCUUUGCAAAAUGCACGAAUACUUUCUCUAUCUUUGUAGGAGCAAGAAAGAUACAGCCCUUUGUCUAGCUCUUUCCCAAUUCUUCCUGCUGUGGGAUACCUAAAGAUGACCUUACUCAACCUUGGACACACCUUUCCAGGGUGCGUUUGGAUGAUCUAUUAGGUCUUCUUCCAAUGGGUGAGAGACUCAAACUGUGUCCAUUUUGGGGCCACUUCAAAACUCUGACUCUAACAAGAUAUUGAUGGAGUCAUCAAAGAGAAACCAGGCACACUUUAUCAGGAAAAUUAAAAGUCUCUGAGCUCAAAUAGCCCUAAUAUUAUCACUCCCAACUGCUAGCCAUGAGACAUUUGACUUGAGACAAAUAUACAUCUAGGCCUCUCCUGUAGGAUAAGGAUUCCAAUGUCCUCUGGACUUACUGUGUUCUUUUAUGCUUUGAGUCCUUACAUGUAUCAUUUCAUCUGCCUGCCUAGACAAUUCUUACUCAUGUUUAAUAUCUCAUUGCAAAUAUGAUUAUCUAAAAAAAGCCAUUCCUGAUAUGAGCCCAUAUUCUGUAAGACCUCAUUACAUGAUCUCCCACUCAAAGCUCCCUUGUCCUAUUUCUUCCCAACACAUAAGAGGAUCAUAAUGAAGUCACUUUGUGUGUAAUCUGUCUCCACUGGUGGAAUAGGAGUUCCAUGGAGGUAAGAAGUGUUUAUCUGGCUUACAGUGGCAUCCCAAGCUCCUUGCACACAGCCUAAGUCACAGCAGCUGUUCAAAAAACAGUUCUUGAAUGAAUGGAUAUCGAUUUGUCUCCUGCGUUUGGUGGCAGGACUUGUGGGGUAAUGCCUCCAACAGAGUCUGCACUUAGAAGCAGUGAAAUCGAUUCAUUUUAGCUUUCUUUCUCCUUCCUCUGUUCCACUGGAGUUUGACAGAUGCAUUCAUCUGCAAACUCCAGGUUGGUCAUAUCCUGCUGAAAAGCCAUAAUUUUAGAGCUGGUGAGUAGCAGGAUCACUACCUUAUGGCCCCUCAUGCUACAGACCUGACAGCUGAAGUCAGAAGAUUAGUCGUUAAUUGUCAGGUCACAUAAUCUAUUUGAUGUCAUGUUCAGCAAGGGGUGUCAAUCUUCUGCUUCUUGGUCUGUAGCUCUAGCCUCCUUCUCACACUCAGUAUGUACUGUAUUUUACUUUCUUAAUCUUCAAACUUUUCUCAAGCUCUUGCCCAGCCAGAGGCAUUCAGUAGAUUAUCCAAGUGGCAACCUGACAGAGGUCUGGUCUGAUUGAAGCUUUUCACAAGAAAAAAAAAAAAAAAACCUUGUUAAAUUGAACAUAUAUUAACCAUUCACUGAAAGUAAAAUAAUCUAAGAAAUUUGCUUUAAAUCUAAAAAAAAAAAA